ensembl:lncRNA
CUUCAAUUUGACAUAUCCAUCCCAUCUGAAGAACACCCUGGUGUUUCUUCAGCGGUAUGUUUUGAAACUUACUGUGGAUGGUGACAAGCCUCUACCUACCCCAGUUACCAGAAUAAUUAACCUCUUACAGUAACAUCAGCAAAAAUGCCCCGCCCCCGUUCAAUUGCCCUAAAUGUUCUCGAAGAACAUUUACAAUCAUCAAAUUAAUCCAGCACAUUGGUCUCAUUCAUGCACAUGAGGCAAAUUUUUCAAUAACUUGUGGUCUUAAUGACUGUCAGAGAUCAUUUACGAAGUAUGCGUCCUUUAGAUGUCAUGUUUACCGAAAGCAUAAAAAUACGGUGUUACAACAGGCUACGACUGCUGACCCUCUGCCUCUGCUUGAGGAGGUUGAGAAAGAAUGUACUACUGAUGUUGCUUUUUCAGCGCCCCCAAACAUGAAUGAGCUGUUGCAGCAAUUUAGAGAGAACCUUUUUGCCUUCACAUUGAAAUGCAGAGAAAAAAAUCACUUGCCUCAGUCAGUGCAGCAAGGAAUUUUGGAUGAUGUUAAUUUCCUGUUUAGUUUUUUCAAAGAGAACUAUGAUGAAUUUCUUGCAUAUCAUCUAGAAAAAAAUGGCUUUGAUCUUGCAGCAUGUCCAGAACUUCAAGAAGUGCUACAGUCCCCAGACUUUUUUUCAGAGGCCUCAAGACUUGUUAGGUCUCCACACAUGUUAAAAGAGUUUUGUAAAGAAAAAUUUGAGAUGACUGAACCCGUACAGUACACGCUAAGAGACCCAAGUGGUAACAAGACUGGAAGUUACUCUUAUGUUCCUAUUUGUGAGGUAUUAAUGAAAUACUGUUCUCAUGAGGACAUUUGGGACCAAAUACAAACUGAGCUGAAUAUAGAAAAAGAUGAACUUGUUCUAAAUGAUUAUCGAGAUGGACUUCAUUUCAAAAACCACAAAAUAUUUGCAGGUAACCCACAAGCACUAAGGUUACAUUUUUAUGAAGACGAAUUCGAAGUAUGUAAUCCCCUGGGGUCUAAACGCAACAAGCACAAACUGUUCGCAAUUUACUAUACCGUUGGAAAUGUGGGUACCAAAUAUUGCUCUCAGUUAAAACAUAUGCAUUUAGCUUUACUUGUACGCUACUGCCAUGUGAAACAAUUUGGACUAGAUGAAAUUUUGAAGCCAUUGAUAGAUGAUCUUAAAAAGCUUUCAUCAGAAGGAAUUAAUGUUCUUGUUGAUGGUUCAGAAAAAAAUGUUUGUGCAGCUGUUGCAGUUAUAUCUGCUGAUAACCUUUCCUCUCACUUAAUAGGUGGAUUCAGUAUGUCUUUUAAUGUUGGUAGAAUUUGUAGGUACUGCAUGGCCACACAUGGUGACAUUAAGAGAUGUUUUAAUGAAUCUGACUUUGUUUUAAGAACUGCGGAUGUCCACAGAUACCACUUAGAGUGUGUAAAAGAAAAUCCAGACACUAAAGCCAUUUAUGGUGUCACGGGAGGCUGUCCUUUUGACAAACUAGACUACUUUGAUGUUACAAUGUCACUACCUCCGGAUGUGAUGCAUGACUUUCUAGAAGGUGUAGUUCCUUUAGUGUUGCGCCUUGUUUUAAGUAAAGCUCACAGAGAGAAAGUCAUAACCAUACAAGAGUUCAAUGAAGAGCUGAGAAAACUUACUAUUGGACAGAAUGAUAAGAAAAAUAAGCCAGCUCCUCUUUCUGAAAAACUUCUACGCAGCUGCAGUAUAGUAGGAUCUGCCUCACAGAAAUGGUGUUUAUUUCGCCUGCUGCCCUUCUUGGUAGCACACAGAAUUCCUGAGGGCUGUAGCUACUGGCAUGUCUACCUACUUUGUCGUGAAAUUUCUGACAUUGUAAUGGCACCAGUUGUAAAAAAAGAAUGGCUUCCCACUCUUGAUCUUUUAGUUUCUGAGUUUUUGUCAUGUACAGUUAAAGAAUUUGGUGAUGUUCUUACUCCAAAAUGUCAUUAUUUAAUCCAUUACUCUCGUUUGAUGUUAUGUUAUGGGCCUUUGCGUUCUUUAUGGUGUUUAAGAUUUGAAGGAAAACAGCAAUAUUUUAAACAGGUUGCUAGCACGUGUAGAAAUUUUGUUAACAUUUCAUCCACUAAGUAAUCGACAUCAACACAGAGAAUGUUGGGAAUUGUCUUCUGUUAAUAUGUUCUGGGAAUAUGAGAGAGUUGCUGGAUGUUGUGUGAGAACACCAUUUCGAUCUUUGCCUGUGGCUCUACAGCAUUCAGUGAAAGCAAAUAAGAAGUACCGCCAUGUCAAUUUUGAAGGCAAA